UGCACACUGUACUGGAUCCUCUGGAGGCCCUGCAGAGGUCCCCGGUUGCAAUCAAGGAGGGGUGGACAGAGAGGAAGCACCGAGGUCGCCCAGGCAACUUGACCUGUGCUGGUUACACGAGGCUGAACUGAGGAACUGCAAGACCAGUCUUUGCAGGAAGCCGAGCCUGGAGCCAGUGAGCCUUGCCAAGAGCUUUCAGAAAUUACGAGGCCACAAAAAUGCUUUUUGGCUUGAAGUAUCCACGUGGGCCCCACCCAUUUUACACAGAGGCAGACCUCUUCCUCCUCGCCACUGGACCUUACAUUGCCAGACUGAAGGAUCUAGAGCUUGGAGAUGUGCAUGGAAGCCCAAAUGCAGCACAAACAAAAGGAACUGUUAGAAUCCAAAGACCUGCUCCGUGUAGCGACUUACACAGAGUCAGCCAGA